rnacentral:rRNA from 1 species
ACAAAUGAGAGUUUGAUUCUGGCUCAGAACGAACGCUGGCGGCGCGCUUAACACAUGCAAGUCGAACGGGGUCGGGGAGGCAACUUCUCGGCCUAGUGGCGAACGGGUGAGUAACACAUAGGAAACCUGCCCUUAGGAUUGGGAUACUCCCGAGAAAUCGGGCACAAUACCGAAUAUGAUUCCGAGGUGAAAUGCCUAGGGAUAAAAGCUCCGAGCA